rnacentral:rRNA from 1 species
UACGAAUGGUGCAAGCGUUGUCCGGAUUUAUUGGGCGUAAAGAGCGUGUAGGCGGCCAGGUAGGUCCGUUGUGAAAACUGGAGGCUUAACCUCCAGCUGUCGAUGGAAACCAUCUGGCUAGAGUCCGGAAGAGGAGAGUGGAAUUCCUGGUGUAGCGGUGAAAUGCGCAGAUAUCAGGAGGAACACCGGUGGCGAAGGCGGGUCUCUGGGCCGAUACUGACGCUGAGGAGCGAAAGCGUGGGGAGCGAACAGG